rnacentral:rRNA from 1 species
AUUGAACGCUGGCGGCAUGCCUUACACAUGCAAGUCGAACGGCAGCACGGGAGCAAUCCUGGUGGCGAGUGGCGAACGGGUGAGUAAUAUAUCGGAACGUACCCUAGAGUGGGGAUAACGCAGCGAAAGUUGCGCUAAUACCGCAUACGAUCUACGGAUGAAAGUGGGGGAUCGCAAGACCUCAUGCUCAUGGAGCGGCCGAUAUCUGAUUAGCUAGUUGGUGGGGUAAAGGCCUACCAAGGCAUCGAUCAGUAGCUGGUCUGAGAGGACGACCAGCCACACUGGAACUGAGACACGGUCCAGACUCCUACGGGAGGCAGCAGUGGGGAAUUUUGGACAAUGGGCGCAAGCCUGAUCCAGCAAUGCCGCGUGCAGGAUGAAGGCC